CCACUUUCCUGGCUUCAUAUGCAGAGAGGAAAACAGAAGCAGAACCGUUUUUCAAAGUGAGAUAAGAUGAUGCUGUUCAUUCUCUGCUGGAUAAGCUCAAACAUCUUACUCAUUUCAGGUUCCUCCCAGAGCGACCAGGUCGUCCAGACUCCAGUCGAAAUGUUCCAGAAAACCGGAGAAGCGGCCAGAAUCAGCUGUUCUCACAGCAUCCAGACCUCCAACCAGAUCCUCUGGUACAAACAGACAGAGCAUCAGAUGCAGCUGCUGGGAUACACUACAGGAACCAGUCCGCUUCCAGAGAAGGGAAUGAACGUGGAGAUGGCGGGGAGCGCGAAUGCAAACCAGAACUGCACUCUGAUAAUCAAAGAGCUGAACGUGAGCAGCAGUGCUGUUUACUUCUGCGCUGCUAGUCAGCACAGUGCUGCGGUUCACUGCUGCCCAGUGCAAAAACCCGACAUCAGAGUUUCUGUAAUCAGUAUCGCGGCUCAUCUCAUCCUGCACCCGCGAGAACACGGCGCGAUUCGCCUCACUGGGUUUUAUGCUGCAGUUCAUUCAAAGGUUUUCAAUUUUGAUUAAGAGUUUAAUCAGAGAGUGAGAUUAGAAAACAGCAAAGAUAAAGUCUGACCAAGAAAACUAAAGUCAAUGUGGAAUCAUGAGUAUCAGGAUCAGUUUUAUAAGUAAAUUCACGCUGAUAGAG